AGCACGGUGAAAUGAGUACUAUCCAGAUGCGAAGAGCUCGAUCCGGUUUAGUAUCACGCAAUUGCUAGAGCACGGGAGGAUCAGGGAACAGAUAUGUCGAUGAGGAAGAGUAAUAACCGGUAAAGAGAUCAAAAUCCUAGGGUUUGGAAAAUCGUACCCGAAUAGAGAUGACGGUCUUCCUUUGAUGUCUCAAAGCCGGCCAUAAUAGAAUAGAUAGAGCCUAUUACAAU
rnacentral:lncRNA from 1 species